CGGGCCGUCCGACCCGUCGCUGCGUUUUGGGGCUCGUACCCACGGCGUAGAGCAAAGUCCGGACUCGUAGCAAAGGCCGCUCGGGUCAAUAACCCGAGGGACGGGAGGGUGCAAGCCCCCCGUCACGUCAAGUGCAACAGAGAGCAGACCAGCCGAUGGAUCGGGGCCACCCGAUCACAGGUGAUGGGUGAAAGGGUGGGGUAAGAGCCCACCGGCGGCAUCCCGCGAGGGACCGGCCAGGUAAACCACCGGUGCGAGCAAGCCAAAUUGUCCCCGUAGGGGCGGUUCGCGAACCGCCCCUACGGGGCUGGUAGGCGCAGCUCCCCUCAGGGGAGCCCGGGGAUUCCCCGGAGAUGGAUGGCGGGAUAGAGCAGAAUCCGGCUUACGGGACGGCCCGGAUC
rnacentral:RNase_P_RNA from 2 species